GGACUUUUUCAUCGUUUUAACAACAAAAGAGAAGAGAAGGAACGGAUGUUGGACAUUCCAACGUCACGUCCCAACGUUAAGUUCUUGUAUGAAAGAUACAAAGUACCAUAAAUAGUUGAGUAGUUAUUUAUUUACCCCUCAAAAAGAAUACCUGCAGAGAGACGGUUAUAAUUGCACUCUAUUGUCUAUAGUCUAGACUAUAUCGUAUAACGCUGCAAACUCGAAUCAUUGGACAAAAUGAUUAGCAAAUAUUAUUCUCUAAGCCCUUGCACGCUUAGAGUGUACAUCGUGAAAUCCUCGAGAUCAAUUGACAACAUCAAGGACCAACUUACGAGAUUUGAGGACAGACCAUCUCAAACGACGGUAGUAAGCUGCUUGUAGAAGUGCGAGAGAUAAAACAAAUAUCCAUUUGAAACCCAUCAGCUUUCUCUCUUCCAUCUCCGGCUCAGCAGCCCAUGACAAGAAUGAGACAACAUCUUUUCCCAUCUGUGCCUCAGUCGCAGGGAUGCCGUCCUCAUACUCAACGGCUCCAUCAUUAAGCAUUUUAGGCAUUGCUAUAGCUCCACCAGGGAAGUAAGGGUUAUAGUGAAGACCUUCCCGAAUCGAGACACCAGCAGGAGGGUCCCGGUAGCCAGUUAGAAGAGCAAAAACAUAGUUUUGACCGUUAUGCCGGGCCUUAGUGAUAAGACUUAGAUCAGGAGGAUAAGCCCCACCAUUUGCAAACCUUGCAGCUGCUUCAUUUGCAUAAGGCUGAGGGAAACGAUCACUCAGCUUCCCAGGACGGGUAAACAUCUCACCUUCAUCAUUAGGCCCAUCAACCACCUCAAUUUCUGCUGCCAUGGCCUUGGUCUCUUCCUCGGUGUAUGCAACCCCAACAAGAUCACGAUAUGAGAUUAGAGACAUUGAGUGGCAUGACGCGCAAACUUGUUGGUAAACCUGGUGACCUCGACGGAUCGAAGCAUGGUCAUAAGAACUUAGGAUGCCUUCGUGAGGCCAGGGAUAGCUGGGACACUCUAGUCCAUGCUCAGCCUCAUCAGAAUAAGCAAUUGUUGCAAAACUAAGGAGCCCAGACACUCCAGCACCAAUGGCUGCAAGUGCUCUGAAAGACUUUGAGCCAGCAGAUUCAAGUCCAUCCAGGCCACGCUUCAGUGCAUCAUUUCUACUGUGAAGCUUCGAGUCAUUCGUCUGGGCAGCUCCUCUCGUAAUAAACCGAUUGAUUCUUCCAAAUCCGUCAAAUCCUAUUCUGAUCUUCUUCCCUAAACUCAUGAUUCACAGAGAAGAUGUUGCGCCGGUAAGUAGUGGAUGGCAGAAGAACGUAGCGUGCGUCCGCGAUGACUGAACUGUUCGAGACGAUUUUGUUCGUGUGCGC
rnacentral:misc_RNA from 1 species